AUGGGGAACAAUAAUUUGAUACAAAUUCAGCUUUCAUGGAGUUGGACAAAGUUACAGCUGUUUCUCCAGUACAUGAAGGAGGACCCUAGGAAUGCAGUCAAGAGACUGGCCAUCCAGGACUUGAAGCUCCUGGCUAAAAAGGCCACCUAUCUCUGGAACAGAGAAAACACUCAGGUGAUGCUUUCACCCCUCCUCGGCUCAUUGACCUUGUUAAGCUAGCGCAGGAAUGCUGUUACCACAGCAACCUGGCCUUCUCUGCCCAUGGAGUCACUGUGCCCGCCA
rnacentral:lncRNA from 1 species